rnacentral:rRNA from 1 species
ACUGGUGAUUAUACCAUUAGAGGUUACACCCGUUACCAUACCGAACACGAAGGUUAAGGUCUAAUGGGUUGAAAAUACUGCAAUAUGUGGGACGAUAAAUUAUUGCCGGUG